CAAGCGGUGGAGCAUGUGGUUUAAUUCAAUGAUACGCGAGGAACCUUACCUGGGCUAUAAUGCUGGUGGACCGUGGGUGAAAGCUCACUUUGUAUCAAUACACCGACAGUAAGGAGCUGCGGGGCUGUCGUCACCUCGUGCCGUGAGGUGUUGGGUUAAGUCCCGCCCCGAGCGCAACCCCCCUCUUUAUUUGCCAUCAGGUAACUCUGGGAACUCUUCUGAAGCUGCCGUCGUAAAACGCGAGGAAGGAGGGGAUGAUGUCAAGUCAUCAUGGCCUUUAUGCCCAGGGGUACACCCGUGCUACAAUGGGAGGGACAAAAAGCUGCCACUUACCGAUAAGGAGCCAAUCUCAAAAACCCUCUCUUCUUCAUAUCGAAUUCUGCAACUCCACUGCGUGAAGCUGGAAUCACUAGUAAUCGUAUAUCAACAAUGAUGCGGUGAAUACUUUCCCGGACCUUGCACACACC
rnacentral:rRNA from 1 species